rnacentral:rRNA from 1 species
UACGUAGGGGGGCAAGCGUUGUCCGGAUUUAUUGGGCGUAAAGAGCGUGUAGGCGGCCAUACAGGUCCGUUGUGAAAACUCGAGGCUCAACCUCGAGACGUCGAUGGAAACCGUAUGGCUAGAGUCCGGAAGAGGAGAGUGGAAUUCCUGGUGUAGCGGUGAAAUGCGCAGAUAUCAGGAAGAACACCCGUGGCGAAGGCGGCUCUCUGGGACGGUACUGACGCUGAGACGCGAAAGCGUGGGGAGCGA